rnacentral:rRNA from 1 species
GAUGAACGCUGGCGGCGUGCCUAAUACAUGCAAGUCGAGCGAACAGAUGAGGAGCUUGCUCCUCUGAUGUUAGCGGCGGACGGGUGAGUAACACGUGGAUAACCUACCUAUAAGACUGGGAUAACUUCGGGAAACCGGAGCUAAUACCGGAUAAUAUAUUGAACCGCAUGGUUCAAUAGUGAAAGACGGUUUUGCUGUCACUUAUAGAUGGAUCCGCGCCGCAUUAGCUAGUUGGUAAGGUAACGGCUUACCAAGGCAACGAUGCAUAGCCGACCUGAGAGGGUGAUCGGCCACACUGGAACUGAGACACGGUCCAGACUCCUACGGGAGGCAGCAGUAGGGAAUCUUCCGCAAUGGGCGAAAGCCUGACGGAGCAACGCCGCGUGAGUGAUGAAGGUCUUCGGAUCGUAAAACUCUGUUAUUAGGGAAGAACAAAUGUGUAAGUAACUGUGCACGUCUUGACGGUACCUAAUCAGAAAGCCACGGCUAACUACGUG